GCAAAUGUACGCUAGACUUAGGAUCUAGUGCCGCGAGGUGUGGGAGUUCGAGUCUCCCCACCUGUA
rnacentral:tRNA from 1 species